GAACGCUGGGCUCAGGGGUAGCCACCAAAGUGCAGCACUUUGAGCUACUUGCAAUGUAUUGGGCUCUAGAACAAUGUAUUUAAGAAGGGAGAAAACUUAUUGUGCAGGAGCAACUGCAGACAGAGGAGAGAGGAGUGAGAAGAUGAAAGCAACAACGCUGCAGACCCCAAGGACUGUCUCUUGUGGAAGGAACACCAUGCUGGAGCAGGGGAAGAGUGGGAGGAGUCCUCUCCUGAGGAGGAAGGAGCAGCAGAGACAACUGUGAUGAACCGACCACAGCCCCCAUUCCCUGUCCCCUGGAGCUGCUGGUGGAAAGGAGGGAGAGAAAACCAGGAGUGAAGUUGGGCCCAGAAAGAAGGACGGGGUAG